UCAUGUUGCUCAAGGAGAAUUCUGAUGAUUCUGGGAGGAUAUAGGGUUCCUACACAUUUUUCCUGAGGAAAUUAAGAACAGGACAGAUGGAUGUACAAAUCGAUGAAUCCACAAACAAGGAGCAAAUGGAUGGAUGACUAAAACUUUUAGACAAUAAUACAGUCAUCAUAUCUGGAAAUACCAAUUUAUUUUAUCAUACUUAAACCCACUUCCAAACAGUGUGGGGGCCCAGCUCAAACCUGCAUUCUACACAAGUCCAACAGAACUUGAGAGGUCAGGAAACCCAGGAAUCUUUAGAAGCUUCCAAAGCUCCACAUCUUUGAUCAGAACCAGGUAGACAAUGUUGCUCUGCAGCUGAUCCAAAGAUGGAUCACUAGCUCCUGAAGAACUGAGUUCAGUUAGGAAACCAAACUGUAUGAAGUCGUUAAAGUCUAGGAAAAAUCUUGAGUCAUUGUUUUUACUGUAGUUAAAUUUGGUGGCACCUCUUGGAUGAUUUCAGGUUUCUUUAACACAAGUGAGUUCUUUCAGAAUCUGCUUUAUUCGCCAAGUUUGCAAAUGUGUAUGGUAUCGAUCUGACCACUCUGAAGUGUCCAUCAGACAGACAGCCUGGGGGAAGAAACUAUCUCUGUAGCGGCUGGUUUUCUGCAAACAGUACUCUGUAGCGCCCACCUGAAGGUGAAAGUCUAAACCUGAGGUCCCCAAACCCCAGAGUCCGAUCCAAAUCCGGACCCAGAGAGUGUUUUGUCCGGACCGCAAAGCAUUUUCUCAUUUACUAUGUACAUAUAGAUAUUUUAUUCCUGCCGUGUCCGCCUUUGGAACAGGCACGACGGGCGGCUAUGUGGACCAGCGACAUUCUGACCCGCGGUCCAAGCCAGCUGGUGGCGGUAAUGCACCACAUCAUUGCAUGCCAACCGCCAGAAAACGACAAAGAAGGAGCUAUGCAGGGUCCUUGAAACUACAUAAGGUGGACUAUGAAAUUCGCACAAUUAAAGAUGAAUGGACAGAAACAUGUGCUUUAAUUUUAACUUCUGUCGAGUGUAAGGCCGGUCUGCCUGAAAUGAUCUGAAUCAAUUGGACGUAUAAAGAGUGGAAAUCUAAAGAGACAUUAUGAAACCAAGCAUAAGAACUACAACCAAACCAAUCCACCUGAGUCUGAUGGUAGGACAAGGUUGAAUCAACGAACUGAGGUGUAACCUAUGUUACUUAAAUUGAGUGCCCGUUCAGCCAUCAGGGGCGCCGUUAUAAAAGGGAAACGCUCUCAGAGUACGCCCCGUUCUGAUGUCACGUCCUCCUUGCUGUUGGCUGGGCAUGGCUGGAAUAAACAAAUGACUGAUUCAACACGAAAUCUGAUUAACACCUUAUGUAAAUCUUCCCAUACUCAUUGGUCAGGUUUUUUUUGGACUCCCUGAACCUCUUCUAGAGUGGCGAGCUGGUAGGAUUAUUUAUUUUUCCCUUUUGAUUCGGGACCUUGGACACUGUUAGAGUCCUGUUUUUUUCCCCCCAAAAGGAACUUAACUAAAAGAACAUGGACAAUAACUGAACUUUCAUAUUUAGUUUGGAUAAACACAAACUGAACCAUUUUGAUUGAAUGACUGGAUACUUGUCUAAUGUAAUCUUGUCUUGACACACUUAUCUGGUGUCUGUCUAAUUAUAUGUUUGUUGUAAUUUAAGUUGAAUAUAUAUUUCUGAAUCAGAUGAGCAUUUAUUUUUUUUCUUCCUCUGGUUAUCUUGUUCCAUCCCAGGCUCCUAUGAUGAACUUAAUUUUCUGUUGUCAGUUUUGUUAAUAUCUUCGCGAUAACUGGUCCAUAUAUAUAUAAAAAAAAACGUAACCCAUACAAGCAUAUUGUGUCGGUGUUACAGAGGGGACAGAAUGAGCGAGCUGCACGGCUGAUAACACGAGCACAAGGAGAGCAGAACUGUUCUACCUAGAUGUACUGACCCAGCUUGACUGUGUCAUUCAAAGUGCGUUCAUUAUUGGUACUUAAAUUGGAUUGGAUUUUUCCAUUCAGCAGAUGAUGUCACGAACAUAUGAAUAUUUAAUCUGUGGUUAUAAAACAAAAACUGUAGUUAAUUAAAUGUUAAAUAAAAAUGAAAGAAAAUA